UUAUAAAUAAAAUACUUGAUCCUUUCGUACUAAAAUAUUUAUAUUUUUUAAAGAUAGAAACCAACCUGGCUUACACCGGUUUAAACUCAGAUCAUGUAAAAUUUCAAAGGUCGAACAGACCUAAUUUUUUAGCUUCUACACCAAAAAUAAAUUUUAAUCCAACAUCGAGGUCGCAAUCUUUUUUUUCGAUAGGAACUUUCAAAAAAAAUUACGCUGUUAUCCCUAAGGUAAUUUAAUCUUUUAAUCAUUUUUAUGGAUCAAUUUUUCAUAAAUUAAUGUUUAAAUAAAAAAAAAGUUAAUUUAAUUUUUCAGUCACCCCAACCCAAUUAAAAAUAAUAUUAAAAAAAUUUAAUUCUAAAACUUAUAAAAUUAUUUUUAAUAAAACUCUAUAGGGUCUUCUCGUCUUUUAAAAUUAUUUAAGCUUUUUUACUUAAAAAUAAAGUUUUAAAUUAUUAAAAUUGAGACAGAUUUUUUCUCAUCAAACCAUUCAUACAAGCUUUCAAUUAAAAAACUAAUGAUUAUGCUACCUUUGCACAGUCAAAAUACUGCGGCCCUUCAAAAAUUCAGUGGGCAGGCCCUACUUUAAAUUAUAAUC
rnacentral:rRNA from 1 species